rnacentral:lncRNA from 1 species
AAAAAACCAUUUUACUGAGGUAUGAUUGAUAUACAACAAAUUGAAGAUAUUUGAGAUACACAGUUUGAUAAGUUUGGACUAUACACAUUCUUCUGGGUUUUUUUUUUUUGGUUUUGGGGGAGGGGUUUUGUGGCCACAGCCACAGCAUAUGGAAGUUCCCAGGCCAGAGACUGAAUCCAAGCCACAGCUGUGACCUAUGCCACAGCCAUGGCAACACCAAAUCCUUAAUCCACUGUGGAUCAAACCGUGCCUCCACAGUGACCUGAGCCACUGCAUUUGGAUCCUUACUGCUUUGCCACAGAGGGAACUCCCCCCACAUUCCUUAUUAACAUGUGGUUCCACUGAUGCUCAGGCCAAGAGGUGGCCAGCGUCCCUGGGUCCCCUGCAGCUGAGAAGUGCAGCCUCGGGGAGCUUUAGCUGAUGAAAAAUCAACAUUGGCUCCUGCCUUCCUGGGGCCUCGUUUUCAUAACCACCUUCUUCAGCUUUUAACCUGAGGGCUGCCAGCAACAGGUGCUAUCCUGCAGUUUUAAGGCUUUUUUUCCUGGACUCUGGAAACCUCGUGCUGAAAGUCUGAUGCUGAUAUGACAGACCCUCCAGCUGUGUAGCUGGCACAUGUGUUUCUGCUGAAGACAACAUGUACUCUGACUGGCUUCUAGAAUCGCCCACAUUCUUGCAGACCCUUGGGAUGUGAGAGCUCAGCCAUGGUCUCCUGCUGACACCCAGGUCCUAGGUGAUAAAAAUUCUUCUACCCACCUUUCUGAUCCAGGGUUCUACUUCUACAAUGCAAUUACUUGUCUUGAAUUUUCACCAACAUUUCAAAGGGGCAAGAGGCAUUCUUCCUUCUUUUCAGCCUGCUGUACACAGGAGGUUUUUCCAGCUGCCAGUUAAAAUGCCGGGGCCCAGCAGGUACCCAGUGGGCACAGUCCCACCCCACUAUUAGGUGCGUUCCUGGGAGAGACCUCGAGUCCACAUGGAAACAGUAGGAUCGGGCUUCCGUGUGUCCAAGGGACUUCCCCAUGAGGCCACCGAGUCCCUGGUGUGCCUAGAAAGUCACCAUUACACAUCACCCCUCACCCUUCCCGAAGGACAGUAAGGAAGCAAGAGCCUGCGAAUGGACAACCCCAUGGAGGAGGGGGCAAGGAAGGCACAGAAGCUCACAGAGAGGACAGGGAGAUGGCCUGAGAGUGAGAGGAUCUGGUACAGUCACCAUGGGGAAGCAGGUGACAGGAGAGGGGUCAGGGAGAAGCCCAAGUGAGGAGCCUCAGGCAACAGAAGGGGGUCCAAACCAAUAACGUCAAAUGGGUUUCCAUUUUUUGCCUAAUACAUUUCAGGAGUCGACUCCAAUGUUUGCUUCCACUUCUUACCCCAAAGGAAGAAGACGGCAGAGGAUAGCGGGUCCAAGGGUUUGGAAUUUAGAAAUGAUCGAUUUCCAAGGUUGGGAAAAAUCCACUAAAAAUGAGCACACGUACACUGUUUUCAUUCCAUUCCUGGCAGAGCCAACAUAUGGCCCAAAGGAGAGCUGAGUAACAGGAGGCAAAGGGAAAUUAGAGAUGAGAUCAUUUAGACAACAUCUUCAUUUUACAAAUGAGAAAACUGAGGCCUGGAGAGGGGCUCGAUGUCACCAUUAAAUAACUGCAGAACCCACGGGACUAGAACUCUGGCCCUUAACUCCCAGUCCAUGCGUCUGCUUCCCUUCUACCCGGCCUGCUAGGCUUCCUUCCACCCCAGCUGCCAUGACUGUAGUGGAGUAAAAGUUUGCCUUGGGGCGCCCUCCUCUGGCUCUGGGCAGCCACUGGCAUAGCUACGAUGUCAGCCUGGUUCUUAAACUGGAGCAGGUAACAGAAUCACCUGCCUACGGUUAAAACGCGGAUUGCUGGGCCCACCCUAGAAGUUUCUGAUUCAGUAGGUGUGGGGUGGGGCCCAGUACUUUGCAAGUCUAACAAGUUCCCAGGUGGUGGUGCCGAUCUGCUGAUUCAAAGACCCACUAUUGAGAAUCUCUGAUGUAGGCAGCGAUCUCAUGGCUCUUCCAGCAAGAUCACCUGGGUUCAAGCCCCAGCUUUGCCAUGCAUGUACUGAAACCCUGAACACAGUGUUGCGUCAUCUCUUGGCAUCUCAGCCUCUCAUCUUAUGAUGGUAACUGUAAUAACCACCCGUAAGGUGAAAAAAAAAUCAGAGUGUGGGCAGUGGUUAACGAAUCCAACAGAACAUGAGCCAUGAUGGGAACUCCACAAACACAUGUCUCUUGUCUGGAGAGACGGCACUGUGGGCCAGGAAAUGUCCAAGGUAACAGAAGUAGUCUCUUACUGUUACUCAAAAAUACCACAGAUCCAGCAGAAAUGGUGUUCAUUCUUACACAAAUAUUGCCCAAGGAAUUAUGAGGGCCUGGCACAGGUUGGCAAAGGUGAAUGACACAGCCCCUGCCCUAGGAGAGCAAUGAGAAGGAAGAUAAACAUGCAAAUCCUAACAAUUCCCCUAUUGAGUGAGGAGCCGGGGAAAGAACCCUUUGCCUGGGGCACAGAGCAAGCAACCCUGUCUAUGGAGUCAAGUAAGCUUUGAAGAGGCAGCCGACUUUUGAGUAGGGUCUUGAAGGAUGAAUAGGAGUUCGUUAAGAAGAGAAGCAGCCAUGGGCCUUCCAGGCAGAGGAAACAGAAUAUGCAAAAUAGCUACAGAGCCGUAAACAUCCAUAAAUGUCCAGGGAAAUGGUAAUAGCGCCACGUAGCUAGAGCUCAGUGGGUCUGGGAAGAAGAGCAGAAGAGGGAUUGACAAGGGAGGCCCAGGCAAGACUCUGCAGAAUCCUGGAUGCCAGGCUGAGUUUGGACCUGAUCAUGUGUCCUUGGAAGACACGUACCUCCUCC